rnacentral:rRNA from 1 species
UGACGGUACCAGAUGAAUAAGCACCGGCUAACUCCGUGCCAGCAGCCGCGGUAAUACGGAGGGUGCAAGCGUUAUCCGGAUUCACUGGGUUUAAAGGGUGCGUAGGCGGAUUUGUAAGUCCGCGGUGAAAUCUCCAAGCUUAACUUGGAAACUGCCGUGGAUACUAUAAUUCUUGAAUGUUGUGGAGGUUAGCGGAAUAUGUCAUGUAGCGGUGAAAUGCUUAGAUAUGACAUAGAACACCAAUUGCGAAGGCAGCUGGCUACACAAAUAUUGACGCUGAGGCACGAAAGCGUGGGGAUCAAACAGGAUUAGAUACCCUGGUAGUCCACGCCCUAAACUAUGGAUACUCGACAUUUGCGAUACACAGCAUGUGUCUGAGCGAAAGCAUUAAGUAUCCCACCUGGGAAGUACGACCGCAAGGUUGAAACUCAG